GUGCUCCCUUUGUCAGCACGUAUACUAAAAUUGGAAUGAUACAGAGAAGAUUAGCAUGGCCCCUGUGCAAGGAUGUUUCCAUAUUUUUAUGAAACCAUAGGAAUUCUA
rnacentral:snRNA from 1 species